rnacentral:lncRNA from 1 species
CUACUAGCUCUGAGUUUUUAUGGCAUGAGAAAUUAAAGUUUAAGAUGUGUGCUUUGAAUUGUCCUAAUACUACAUAAAACAUAAAUUUUUGUUGAUUUCAACCUAGGUUGCCCCAAGACUUCUAAUUAAGGAGCCCUUUCAAAAUUGUCCCAUAGAGAGUAAGUUUCUUAGAAAAUAGAGUAAGACGAUGGUUUGUCUAAUAAUUGUCUCUCAAACCACUGAACUGGGCACCAAAAGGCACAUUUAAGUAAAUUUCAUGGCUGGGUGUGGUGGCUCAUGCCUGUAAUCCCAGCACUUUGAGAAGCUGAGGUGGGUGGAUCACUUGAGGUCAGGAGUUCGAGACCAACCUGGGCAACAUGGUGAAACCCUGACUCUACUGAAAAUAC